rnacentral:rRNA from 1 species
CCUACGGGAUGCAGCAGUGAGGAAUAUUGGUCAAUGGACGCAAGUCUGAACCAGCCAUGCCGCGUGCAGGAAGACGGCUCUAUGAGUUGUAAACUGCUUUUGUACGAGGGUAAACGCAGAUACGCGUAUCUUUCUGAAAGUAUCGUACGAAUAAGGAUCGGCUAACUCCGUGCCAGCAGCCGCGGUAAUACGGAGGAUUCAAGCGUUAUCCGGAUUUAUUGGGUUUAAAGGGUGCGUAGGCGGUAGGAUAAGUUAGUGGUGAAAUCCCGAGGCUCAACUUCGGAAUUGCAUCUGAUACUGGUCGGCUAGAGAGUAGUUGCGGUAGGCGGAAUGUAUGGUGUAGCGGUGAAAUGCUUAGAGAUCAUACAGAACACCGAUUGCGAAGGCAGCUUACCAAGCUACUUCUGACGUUGAGGCACGAAAGCGUGGGGAGCAAACAGGAUUAGAUACCCGGGUAGUC